rnacentral:rRNA from 1 species
GUGAGGAAUAUUGCGCAAUGGAGGCAACUCUGACGCAGCCAUGCCGCGUGCAGGAAGAAGGCGCUACGCGUUGUAAACUGCUUUUAACCGGGAAGAAACCCCAGGACGUGUCCUGGGUUGACGGUACCGGAGGAAUAAGCACCGGCUAACUUCGUGCCAGCAGCCGCGGUAAUACGAAGGGUGCAAGCGUUAUCCGGAAUCAUUGGGUUUAAAGGGUGCGUAGGCGGAGCGUUAAGUCAGUGGUGAAAUCCUGCAGCUUAACUGUAGACUUGCCAUUGAUACUGGCGCUCUUGCGUGCGCUUGAAGUGGGCGGAAUGUGCCGUGUAGCGGUGAAAUGCUUAGAUAUGGCACAGAACACCAAUUGCGAAGGCAGCUCACUAAGGCGAUACUGACGCUGAGGCACGAAAGCGUGGGGAUCGAACAGGAUUAGAAACCCGAGUAGUCC